rnacentral:misc_RNA from 1 species
AACUUUUGGCAAUGGAUCUCUUGGUUCUCGCAUCGAUGAAGAACGCAGCGAAAUGCGAUAAGUACUGUGAAUUGCAGAAUUCAGUGAAUCAUCGAAUCUUUGAACGCACCUUGCGCUCCUUGGUAUUCCGAGGAGCAUGCCCGUUUGAGUGUCUUGAUAUCAUCAAACGCCCCCGCCUUUUCCGGUGGGUCGGCGAGUUGGACUUGGACGUGCUGCUGGGCGCUCUGCGCUCGGCUCGUCUUGAAUGCAUUAGCUGGAUCUCCCUCCGGCCUCGGACCUUAUGGCGUGAUAAGAUCACCCGUCGAGCAGUCCUUGGUCAACGUUGGGUUCCGCUUCCAACCGUCCCCCCGUGGACAACACCGAAAACCUGGUUUUCGACAUCUGACCUCAAAUCGGGUAGGACUACCAGCUGAACUUAAGAAUAUCAAUAAGCGGAGGCU